rnacentral:rRNA from 2 species
GAACGCUGGCGGCGUGCCUAAUACAUGCAAGUCGAACGAACUCUGGUAUUGAUUGGUGCUUGCAUCAUGAUUUACAUUUGAGUGAGUGGCGAACUGGUGAGUAACACGUGGGAAACCUGCCCAGAAGCGGGGGAUAACACCUGGAAACAGAUGCUAAUACCGCAUAACAACUUGGACCGCAUGGUCCGAGCUUGAAAGAUGGCUUCGGCUAUCACUUUUGGAUGGUCCCGCGGCGUAUUAGCUAGAUGGUGGGGUAACGGCUCACCAUGGCAAUGAUACGUAGCCGACCUGAGAGGGUAAUCGGCCACAUUGGGACUGAGACACGGCCCAAACUCCUACGGGAGGCAGCAGUAGGGAAUCUUCCACAAUGGACGAAAGUCUGAUGGAGCAACGCCGCGUGAGUGAAGAAGGGUUUCGGCUCGUAAAACUCUGUUGUUAAAGAAGAACAUAUCUGAGAGUAACUGUUCAGGUAUUGACGGUAUUUAACCAGAAAGCCACGGCUAACUACGUGCCAGCAGCCGCGGUAAUACGUAGGUGGCAAGCGUUGUCCGGAUUUAUUGGGCGUAAAGCGAGCGCAGGCGGUUUUUUAAGUCUGAUGUGAAAGCCUUCGGCUCAACCGAAGAAGUGCAUCGGAAACUGGGAAACUUGAGUGCAGAAGAGGACAGUGGAACUCCAUGUGUAGCGGUGAAAUGCGUAGAUAUAUGGAAGAACACCAGUGGCGAAGGCGGCUGUCUGGUCUGUAACUGACGCUGAGGCUCGAAAGUAUGGGUAGCAAACAGGAUUAGAUACCCUGGUAGUCCAUACCGUAAACGAUGAAUGCUAAGUGUUGGAGGGUUUCCGCCCUUCAGUGCUGCAGCUAACGCAUUAAGCAUUCCGCCUGGGGAGUACGGCCGCAAGGCUGAAACUCAAAGGAAUUGACGGGGGCCCGCACAAGCGGUGGAGCAUGUGGUUUAAUUCGAAGCUACGCGAAGAACCUUACCAGGUCUUGACAUACUAUGCAAAUCUAAGAGAUUAGACGUUCCCUUCGGGGACAUGGAUACAGGUGGUGCAUGGUUGUCGUCAGCUCGUGUCGUGAGAUGUUGGGUUAAGUCCCGCAACGAGCGCAACCCUUAUUAUCAGUUGCCAGCAUUAAGUUGGGCACUCUGGUGAGACUGCCGGUGACAAACCGGAGGAAGGUGGGGAUGACGUCAAAUCAUCAUGCCCCUUAUGACCUGGGCUACACACGUGCUACAAUGGAUGGUACAACGAGUUGCGAACUCGCGAGAGUAAGCUAAUCUCUUAAAGCCAUUCUCAGUUCGGAUUGUAGGCUGCAACUCGCCUACAUGAAGUCGGAAUCGCUAGUAAUCGCGGAUCAGCAUGCCGCGGUGAAUACGUUCCCGGGCCUUGUACACACCGCCCGUCACACCAUGAGAGUUUGUAACACCCAAAGUCGGUGGGGUAACCUUUUAGGAACCAGCCGCCUAAGGUGGGACAGAUGA